GAGUUUGAUCAUGGCUCAGGACGAACGCUGGCGGCGUGCCUAAUACAUGCAAGUAGAACGCUGAAGAGAGGAGCUUGCUCUUCUUGGAUGAGUUGCGAACGGGUGAGUAACGCGUAGGUAACCUGCCUUGUAGCGGGGGAUAACUAUUGGAAACGAUAGCUAAUACCGCAUAACAAUGGAUGACACAUGUCAUUUAUUUGAAAGGGGCAAUUGCUCCACUACAAGAUGGACCUGCGUUGUAUUAGCUAGUAGGUGAGGUAAUGGCUCACCUAGGCGACGAUACAUAGCCGACCUGAGAGGGUGAUCGGCCACACUGGGACUGAGACACGGCCCAGACUCCUACGGGAGGCAGCAGUAGGGAAUCUUCGGCAAUGGGGGCAACCCUGACCGAGCAACGCCGCGUGAGUGAAGAAGGUUUUCGGAUCGUAAAGCUCUGUUGUAAGUCAAGAACGGGUGUGAGAGUGGAAAGUUCACACUGUGACGGUAGCUUACCAGAAAGGGACGGCUAACUACGUGCCAGCAGCCGCGGUAAUACGUAGGUCCCGAGCGUUGUCCGGAUUUAUUGGGCGUAAAGCGAGCGCAGGCGGUUUGAUAAGUCUGAAGUUAAAGGCUGUGGCUCAACCAUAGUUCGCUUUGGAAACUGUCAAACUUGAGUGCAGAAGGGGAGAGUGGAAUUCCAUGUGUAGCGGUGAAAUGCGUAGAUAUAUGGAGGAACACCGGUGGCGAAAGCGGCUCUCUGGUCUGUAACUGACGCUGANGCUNGAAAGCGUGGGGAGCGAACAGGANUAGAUACCCUGGUAGUCCACGCCGUAAACGAUGAGUGCUAGGUGUUGGAUCCUUUCCGGGAUUCAGUGCCGCAGCUAACGCAUUAAGCACUCCGCCUGGGGAGUACGACCGCAAGGUUGAAACUCAAAGGAAUUGACGGGGGCCCGCACAAGCGGUGGAGCAUGUGGUUUAAUUCGAAGCAACGCGAAGAACCUUACCAGGUCUUGACAUCCCGAUGCUAUUUCUAGAGAUAGAAAGUUACUUCGGUACAUCGGUGACAGGUGGUGCAUGGUUGUCGUCAGCUCGUGUCGUGAGAUGUUGGGUUAAGUCCCGCAACGAGCGCAACCCCUAUUGUUAGUUGCCAUCAUUCAGUUGGGCACUCUAGCGAGACUGCCGGUAAUAAACCGGAGGAAGGUGGGGAUGACGUCAAAUCAUCAUGCCCCUUAUGACCUGGGCUACACACGUGCUACAAUGGUUGGUACAACGAGUUGCGAGUCGGUGACGGCGAGCUAAUCUCUUAAAGCCAAUCUCAGUUCGGAUUGUAGGCUGCAACUCGCCUACAUGAAGUCGGAAUCGCUAGUAAUCGCGGAUCAGCACGCCGCGGUGAAUACGUUCCCGGGCCUUGUACACACCGCCCGUCACACCACGAGAGUUUGUAACACCCGAAGUCGGUGAGGUAACCUUUUGGAGCCAGCCGCCUAAGGUGGGACAGAUGAUUGGGGUGAAGUCGUAACAA
rnacentral:rRNA from 1 species